rnacentral:tRNA from 1 species
AGUGGAAGCACCAAGAGUUUUGAUCGCUUGAGGAUGGGUUCGAGCCCCUUCUCUCUAG